rnacentral:rRNA from 1 species
CCUACGGGAGGCAGCAGUGAGGAAUAUUGGUCAAUGGACGGAAGUCUGAACCAGCCAUGCCGCGUGCAGGAAGACGGCUCUAUGAGUUGUAAACUGCUUUUGUACAAGGGUAAACCUGAAUACGUGUAUACAGCUGAAAGUACUGUACGAAUAAGGAUCGGCUAACUCCGUGCCAGCAGCCGCGGUAAUACGGAGGAACCAAGCGUUAUCCGGCUUUAUUGGGGUGAAAGGGUGCGUAGGCGGAUUGAUAAGUUAGAGGUGAAAUGUCCGAGCUGAACUCGGGAACUGCCUCUAAUACUGUUGGUCUAGAGCGUAGUUGCGGUAGGCGGAAUGUAUGGUGUAGCGGUGAAAUGCUUAGAGAUCAUACAGAACACCGAUUGCGAAGGCAGCUUACCAAUCUAUAUCUGACGUUGAUGCACGAAAGCGUGGGGAGCAAACAGGAUUAGAUACCCUAGUAGUC